rnacentral:rRNA from 1 species
UAGUCCACGCCGUAAACGAUGAUCACUCGUUGCUGGUAAUAUACCAUCAGUGACCAAGCGAAAGUGUUAAGUGAUCCACCUGGGAAGUACGUUCGCAAGAAUGAAACUCAAAGGAAUUGACGGGGGGCCCGCACAAGCGGUGGAGCAUGUGGUUUAAUUCGAUGAUACGCGAGGAACCUUACCAGGGCUUAAAUGCAGUUCGACAGAUUUAGAAAUAAAUCCUUCUUCGGACGAAUUGCAAGGUGCUGCAUGGUUGUCGUCAGCUCGUGCCGUGAGGUGUCAGGUUAAGUCCUAUAACGAGCGCAACCCCUAUUCUUAGUUGCCAGCGGGUAAUGCCGGGAACUCUAAGGAAACUGCCAGCGCAAGCUGUGAGGAAGGGUGGGGAUGACGUCAAAUCAUCACGGGCCCUUACGUCCUGGGGCUACACACGUGCUACAAUGGAUGGGUACAA